rnacentral:misc_RNA from 1 species
GAAACAUUUGCUUCUGCGACUAGAUCUGCAUUAUUAUUUAUUCUGAAACUGUGCAUCUUGUCUUCUCCAUAUUUCAAUUUACGCCUUGCUAAAUUUCUCUUACCAUAUGACCUAUGACCUUUUUUAUUUUUGAUACUCUUUCCAAAUAAAUCAGUCACAGGUAAGGCAGGAAAAUCAAAAUAGUUCUCAUUUACCGAUUCUGAUUGACAUGCUUCACCCCCAAGUUCGUUGGAUCGGCAGUAGUAUGGACCCAAAGUAGGCACAGAAGAGAAAGAGUCCAAUGCUGCCCCAUCUGU